UCUAGCCACGGAGGAGAGGCAAGCAGGUGCGUGGCAGGAGGCCACGGACAGGAGGGGGCCGAGGGCGGGUCUGUGGGACGGCGGCCGGGGCUCACAGGCCGUUGCCGGGGCUCCAGACCUCACAACAGAGCAUCUGAGGACCGUGAACCUGCAGACGGCAGCGAGGGUCUGAGCACGAAUUUACCAAGAAGCACGGGGAAUGCCAAAUGGAAAAAAAAAUGCAAGAGGAGAGGAAGAUUUUCACAGGGAAACGAAAGCCACCCAGCCCCGGACAGCAUCCACACGGUCAGGAAGCACAAAGGACGGCACGGGCGGCCCUCCUACCUUGUCGUCAUCCUCACACGUCAUGUCGUUGGAGAACAGGAUCUCCGCCUUGAACAUCUUCCAGCACUGCAUGAGCUGAACCAGCAGGUAGCACACGGUCUUGAAUUUCAUCCUCUUGGCUGCCCUGAUGUCGGACAGGAUAAGCCCUGGGAGUAUCUGUGCAGAGAGGUGGUCCGGGGACGGCCCGUGAGCAGCCCCGAGCUGCCCCCGGGCCGGGCACGACCUCACGGGGACACAGACGCCAAACAGGCGAGCGGGACCGGCGGGCCGGCUCCACGGCACACGGCUCUCGGCUCCUCCCGGGGCCUCUGGACCCAGAGCGAGGCCCCGGAGCGGGGCCUGCAGCAGUGGGGGGCUUGGGGCCCAGCCAGGGAGGGACCCGGAGGCCUGGACGUCGCUGGCUGGCGAGGCGGCAGCCGGCCGAGGACCAGCGCCAGAGACCCCCGGGGUCCUGCCCCGCAGGCCCCACCUGCCUGGGUGACUGCUGCUGUGCUGGGGUCCUGGGCGACCCCUCGCCCGGCCCUCCUCCAGGCCCGCGAGGGCUGCCCCUGCUUCAGGAGUGAGCUCAGGGAGCCCUCGGCCGUGGGCCCCAGGUCACAGGGCCUGCACAGCCCCAAACCACGGACACGCAGGACGGAGAAGCUUCAAGCUCUGUCUCGCAGCCGACCUGCUUAUGUCCUGAAGGAGCACCAGGGCCGCUGGUGCCCCCCAACCCUGCCUGUGCGCCACAACCCCCACUUGUGCCCCCAGACCCUGCCUGUGCCCCAUGGCCCCACCUUCUGUGCCCCCGGCCCCUCACCUGUGCCCCCCACUACUCGCCUGUGCCCCCAUCCCUCGCCUGCGACCCCGCCCCUCGUUGUGCCCCGCGACCCCUGCCUGUGCACUGAGACCCCGUCCUGUGCCCAAGGACCCCACUUGUGCCCCGUGGCCUCCCCUUCUGUGCCACCCGCUUCUGUGCCCCUCGCCCCCCUCCUGUGA
rnacentral:lncRNA from 1 species